rnacentral:rRNA from 1 species
AGAAUCUUCCACAAUGGGCGAAAGCCUGAUGGAGCAACGCCGCGUGUGUGAUGAAGGGUUUCGGCUCGUAAAACACUGUUGUAAGAGAAGAAUGACAUUGAGAGUAACUGUUCAAUGUGUGACGGUAUCUUACCAGAAAGGAACGGCUAAAUACGUGCCAC